rnacentral:rRNA from 1 species
GGGUCAGUAGGUUGGUCGUGCCACCGGUACGUACUGGUCUCACCGAUUCCUCCUUCCUGAAGGACCGUAAUGCCAUUAAUUUGGUGUUGCGGGGAAACAGGACUGUUACUUUGAAAAAAUUAGAGUGUUUAAAGCAAGCUAACGCUUGAAUACAUUAGCAUGGAAUAAUGAAAUAGGACGAUCGAUCCUAUUUUGUUGGUUCCUAGGAUUGACGUA